rnacentral:pre_miRNA from 1 species
ACAUCUUAUCUUCUGUUGGUCUACAUCUUCAUGUUGGUCUACAUCUUCAUGUUGGUCUACUGAAGAUGUAGACCAACAUGAAGAUGUAGACCAACAUGAAGAUGUAGA